UACGUAGGGUGCGAGCGUUUGUCCGGAAUUAUUGGGCGUAAAGGGCUCGUAGGCGGUUUGUCGCGUCGGGAGUGAAAACGCCGUGCUUAACACGGCGCUUGCUUUCGAUACGGGCAGACUAGAGGUAUGCAGGGGAGAACGGAAUUCCUGGUGUAGCGGUGAAAUGCGCAGAUAUCAGGAGGAACACCGAUGGCGAAGGCAGGUCUCUGGGCUGUAACUGACGCUGAGACGCGAAAGCGUGGGGGAGCAAACGGG
rnacentral:rRNA from 1 species